UGGUGUCAAAAAAUACAUAAAUGAGAGCAGAGUUUGGACUAUGCCAUGUGAUUCAUUUUAAUGACAAUCCACCUGCAAGAUACCUGGUCACCAAUGGAGGGGUUUGCAAAGAGAGAACACAGAAAGAACAUAAAAGACUAUGUAAAGUCUCUAAGACGUGCAUCUUGAAGAGGAUUUUCAGGACCUGUAGUGCCAUUCUGCCACCUGACUGAGUCAUUGACCCAAAAUAUUCACUGACUUCUCUGGAAAAUACUUAUCCUGGUACAUACAAAAUUCUACAAUUUCUGAAGGAAAUAGCAUAGCUCCAGAUGACAGACACAGAAAACACUGGUUUUCAUGAAAAUUUGCUAAGUGCUAAAAGACAUCAAGAUGUAGAAGAAAUCACUGGAAGUCAAGGUCAUUUACAAGAUGGUGGAAAUGCUUGCGCUCUCUCGGUCCAUUUCCCCCUGUAUUUCUGUGAAAAGAUGUGGCCAAAAUCUGAGUUUCUUAUCCAUUGGGCUGAUGAUAAUACUAAAAAAUAUUAAGCUAUACCUAAAAAUACAGAAAGGUUUUGGUAUUUUUUGAGCAAAACCCAAGACAAAUGAGGGGAGGCCCUGUCAAUGUGCAUCGUGCUCCUGGUUCUAUGUGUCACCCUGAAGAAGUUUCAAACUGGUUCAGAACAUGUAAUUACUGUCUAUAAGUCAGAAAGUCUCAGUCGGUAUUCUACUCAUUUCUUCAUUCAUAAUGAAUCACAAUUAGAAAAAAUAAUAACUCAGUUAUACUGAGUAGAAUGUAAGCCACAGAUUCCCAUAUAUCACUAGAAGAGCAAACUAAUAUAUCAGUCCUGACAGUUUCCUUGCAUUUCAAAUGGAAAAAAAAAAAAAUGUUUAUGAUCAUUUUAUCAUUUUGUCUUCUUUCAACAGAUUGUAUCAUUACUUAAUGACGAAACUUCUUGAGUAAUUUUAGUGGAUAUAUUUUCC